GCUAUCACGGAAGUAAAUUUAAGGUCAUUGGUCUACUUCAUGUCGUGAGAUGUAUGAUUCAAGUAAGAAAAUUAUAUUAACACAAAUCAAAAUAAGAAAUUGUGAUAAAUUAAACGUUACAUAAGUGUAUUACCUUUCUGCAACUUUCGAUUUCGAUUUCGAAAGCAAAACUACAAUAGUGUUAUACUAGUACAGUACGUAAGAAGCUUUACUAAUGGGAAAUAACAGGUCAAAGGGUGGCCGAGAUGCAACGUGUAAACUCGAGGACGAAACUCUUAAAGAGGUUGAAGAAGAAGUAGCGGAAUGGUCGCGAACGAUUCAGAGAAUUAAGGGAAACCAAGGGGCAAAGAUGGAUGAAAGUGACUUAAUUCACCGGAUGAACACCACUGCAAAGAAUAUUACUUGUUAUAUAAGCAAUGUAGAUGAGGAUCAGACAGGCCAAGCUGGCUUAUAUUUAAAUGUAAAUGGGCCAGUGAAUCCGACCUCAUCUAGUAAACGAACACAAAACGAAGAUGGAACUUGCUCUGGUCAAGAUCGAGAAGUAAACAUUAAUAUUUGGUUGCGCAAAUUGGGUUCCUUAAAGCAGAGAGAGAAAAAAUGAAGAAAAAUAUUGAACGUCUUCAGGAGGAAAUUUCAAGAAAGAGAGAGAACAUUCAGGAUCUCCAUGCAGAGAACGACCAAUUAAAGAUAUGAUUGAGCAAACUGACAGGUGAUAAGCUGAAACAAAACAACCCGAAAAUAGCUGACCUGAGCGAUAUGUCCGGCCGACGAAGCUUGGCGAGAUUUACAGUGAGCUGUUUGACAACGAGUGGCUGUCGCGUUUGAAGGUCUGACAAAAGGUGGCGGCUACAAAGAUGAAGCAAUUAAUGCUCUGCGUAAAACAUUGGAUAGUGCCUACACGUUUUGUGUGAUAAAUUCCAACGAGUUGGUUACCAAAAUGGAAGCGGUCACAGAGGAGUUGUUUGAAGACAUAAGACGACGAGAGCAUAGUCUUACACUUCCACAAUCUCCACAUGGUCGUGAAACAAAUCCACUGCUUGCACUUGAGGACUAUUUCUUUGAGAGGCACUGGAAACCUAAACAACGCAAGGAAGCACAGAAGAACUGGAACAAGCAAACGUCGGUUCGACCUACAAAUAUGGGACAAGAAUUGAUUAAAAUGCGGAAAGGUGUCGCCGUCUAAAUGGUUCCUGUCGUGCAACAUGUAAAAGGCGUGUUUCAUCUAGGCACUAUGCUUGAUCGCAUAACGAUGUGAAGUUGGAAACAAUCCGUUUGAAUUUCAUUUUUAAUAUGAACUUAAAAGACAUAAUUGGACACUGUUCCUGUGUCUCUGAUAAUGUGUUAAGAUAUAGUCAUAUCAUAAAAAAUAUGACCUAAAAAAGAAUAAGAAAAUUAGUCGUCACCAUUUCAAAAAUGUUAAAACAAAUAUGCUAUUUAAAUCACGAGCGUUUUAAGGAAAGAUUGAAUUUCAGGAGUGUGUUGUUGUUGUUUUUCUUUUAUUGAUGUUAUAAAUGAAAUAAAAUAUAAACAAUCUAGUAACACAAUUAUCUAUCAAACAUUCUAUUUCACAGGCAUAUUUACGAGACAGAUGAGACAAGGAAUGCAUUGAAUCACUUAAACCUUUCAUCAAAAAGUCCCUCUUCAUCUGCUGGAUGAUGGUGGUUCAAACUCCUCCAAUGGUUUUUGACAGUACAACCAAAGCCGAUUCGCGUUUUGACUCAUCGAUGUACAGGCAAUACACAGCGAGUGGAGACAACGUAGAGUACGUGGUUUGGCCUGCGAUGUUUCUUCAUCAAAACGGACCCCUUGUUCUAAAAGGUGUUGCGCAGCCAAAGCAGCGUGUGUAGUUGAUAUUUUCUACGUACAUCUACUUUCAAAGUGUCGUUGGAGUAUCCAAGGCAUCUUACACCUUUGUUGUUAUGUAUUGAUUAAGAAACGAUAGGAUUAUAUAAACAGAAGGUGUUGUGUUUUAUUAUUACGUAAUGUGUCUCCCAUUGAGUGUCUCCAAGGCUUUAAUUCUAUCUGACGCCUUUAAACAAUAUCAUACGUGUCCCUGUAGGCUUCAUCGUAAUUAUAAUCAUUGCAUCGAAGACAAGUAACUUGUCGCUAAGCAAGAAAGCAAAAUUAUAUGAUAUGCAUACAAACGUAAUAAUGCCAAUUUACAUUUCUGUGAAAUGUUUCAAUUUGUAUUUGAGUUUUAAAGAAAUGGGAAUCUGUUUUGUUGUGAUGUUUGGUCGGUAUGAUAAUAUGCUUCGGUUUGCUGUUCUUUCAGUCUAAAGAAAGUCCGAGACAUAUAGUUUACUGCUUUUUUCUGAUAUGAUAGAACAUUGGUAAACGCUUCAUUAGUAAUUUGCAAGGUGUAAGUUGCAAUUAUCACUGCUGUUAGCAGCGUGAAAUUAGCUGGUUCAACUUUACCGGCAGUAUAGCAAUACUAUCUAAUAACUUAAAUAAACGACAGUAUAAAAGAUGACUGCAAUGUAACGACGGGAUUCACGAUGGUACAGCGUAACGAUUGGAUUAACGAUGCCUACAGCCUAACGAUUGAAUUAACGAUGCCUACAGCGUAACGAUUGGAUUAACGAUGCCUACAACGAACCGAUUGGAUUAACGAUGCCUACAGCGUAACGAUUGGAUUAACGAUGCAUACAGCGUAACGAUUGGAUUAACGAUGCCUAGAGACUAACGAUUGGAUUAACGAUGCAUACAGCGUAACGAUUGGAUUAACGAUGCCUACAGCGUAACGAUUUGUUUAACGAUGCCUUCAGCGUAACGAUUGGAUUAACGAUGCCUACAGCGUAACGAUUGGAUUAACAAUGCCUACAGCGUAACGAUUGGAUUAUCGAUGCAUACAGCGUAACGAUUGGAUUAACGAUGACUAAAGCGUAACAAUUGGAUUAAUGAUGCCUACAGCGUAACGAUUGGAUUAACGAUGCAUACAGCGUAACGAUUGGAUUAACGAUGACUAAAGCGUAACAAUUGGAUUAGCGAUGCCUACAGCGUAACGAUUGGAUUAACGAUGCCUACAGCGAUACGAUUGGAUUAACGAUGCCUACAGCGUUACGAUUGGAUUAACGAUGCCUACAGCGCUACCACUGGAUUAACGAUGCCUACAGC